GACACGCUCAUUGAGCCUCUGUCACUUAUUAAAAUUGGAACGAUACAGAGAAGAUUAGCAUGGCCCCUGCACAAGGAUGACACUAAAUCUCUGAGAAGGAAGCUCUACGGAGCAACAUUUUUUU
rfam:Rhizopus oryzae RA 99-880 supercont3.2 genomic scaffold, whole genome shotgun sequence.